rnacentral:rRNA from 1 species
GAUGAACGCUAGCGGGAGGCCUAACACAUGCAGGCCGAGCGGUAUUUGUUCUUCGGAACAGAGAGAGCGGCGCACGGGUGCGGAACACGUGUGCAACCUGCCUUUAUCUGGGGGAUAGCCUUUCGAAAGGAAGAUUAAUACCCCAUAAUAUAUUGAGUGGCAUCAUUUGAUAUUGAAAACUCCGGUGGAUAGAGAUGGGCACGCGCAAGAUUAGAUAGUUGGUGAGGUAACGGCUCACCAAGUCAAUGAUCUUUAGGGGGCCUGAGAGGGUGAUCCCCCACACUGGUACUGAGACACGGACCAGACUCCUACGGGAGGCAGCAGUGAGGAAUAUUGGACAAUGGGUUAGCGCCUGAUCCAGCCAUCCCGCGUGAAGGACGACGGCCCUAUGGGUUGUAAACUUCUUUUGUAUAGGGAUAAACCUACUCUCGUGAGAGUAGCUGAAGGUACUAUACGAAUAAGCACCGGCUAACUCCGU